CCCGCGGCGCAUUAGCUAGUUGGUGAGGUAACGGCUCACCAAGGCAACGAUGCGUAGCCGACCUGAGAGGGUGAUCGGCCACACUGGGACUGAGACACGGCCCAGACUCCUACGGGAGGCAGCAGUAGGGAAUCUUCCGCAAUGGACGAAAGUCUGACGGAGCAACGCCGCGUGAGUGAUGAAGGUUUUCGGAUCGUAAAGCUCUGUUGUUAGGGAAGAACAAGUGCCGUUCAAAUAGGGCGGCACCUUGACGGUACCUAACCAGAAAGCCACGGCUAACUACGUGCCAGCAGCCGCGGUAAUACGUAGGUGGCAAGCGUUGUCCGGAAUUAUUGGGCGUAAAGGGCUCGCAGGCGGUUUCUUAAGUCUGAUGUGAAAGCCCCCGGCUCAACCGGGGAGGGUCAUUGGAAACUGGGGAACUUGAGUGCAGAAGAGGAGAGUGGAAUUCCACGUGUAGCGGUGAAAUGCGUAGAGAUGUGGAGGAACACCAGUGGCGAAGGCGACUCUCUGGUCUGUAACUGACGCUGAGGAGCGAAAGCGUGGGGAGCGAACAGGAUUAGAUACCCUGGUAGUCCACGCCGUAAACGAUGAGUGCUAAGUGUUAGGGGGUUUCCGCCCCUUAGUGCUGCAGCUAACGCAUUAAGCACUCCGCCUGGGGAGUACGGUCGCAAGACUGAAACUCAAAGGAAUUGACGGGGGCCCGCACAAGCGGUGGAGCAUGUGGUUUAAUUCGAAGCAACGCGAAGAACCUUACCAGGUCUUGACAUCCUCUGACAAUCCUAGAGAUAGGACGUCCCCUUCGGGGGCAGAGUGACAGGUGGUGCAUGGUUGUCGUCAGCUCGUGUCGUGAGAUGUUGGGUUAAGUCCCGCAACGAGCGCAACCCUUGAUCUUAGUUGCCAGCAUUCAGUUGGGCACUCUAAGGUGACUGCCGGUGACAAACCGGAGGAAGGUGGGGAUGACGUCAAAUCAUCAUGCCCCUUAUGACCUGGGCUACACACGUGCUACAAUGGACAGAACAAAGGGCAGCGAAACCGCGAGGUUAAGCCAAUCCCACAAAUCUGUUCUCAGUUCGGAUCGCAGUCUGCAACUCGACUGC
rnacentral:rRNA from 1 species